CGGAACGAGUUAUCUGAACCUUCGGGGAACGAUAACGGCGUCGCGUUGCGGACGGGUGAGUAAUGCCUAGGAAAUUGCCCUGAUGUGGGGGAUAACCAUUGGAAACGAUGGCUAAUACCGCAUAAUGCCUACGGGCCAAAGAGGGGGACCUUCGGGCCUCUCGCGUCAGGAUAUGCCUAGGUGGGAUUAGCUAGUUGGUGAGGUAAGGGCUCACCAAGGCGACGAUCCCUAGCUGGUCUGAGAGGAUGAUCAGCCACACUGGAACUGAGACACGGUCCAGACUCCUACGGGAGGCAGCAGUGGGGAAUAUUGCACAAUGGGCGCAAGCCUGAUGCAGCCAUGCCGCGUGUGUGAAGAAGGCCUUCGGGUUGUAAAGCACUUUCAGUCGUGAGGAAGGUAGUGUAGUUAAUAGCUGCAUUAUUUGACGUUAGCGACAGAAGAAGCACCGGCUAACUCCGUGCCAGCAGCCGCGGUAAUACGGAGGGUGCGAGCGUUAAUCGGAAUUACUGGGCGUAAAGCGCAUGCAGGUGGUUUGUUAAGUCAGAUGUGAAAGCCCGGGGCUCAACCUCGGAAUUGCAUUUGAAACUGGCAGACUAGAGUACUGUAGAGGGGGGUAGAAUUUCAGGUGUAGCGGUGAAAUGCGUAGAGAUCUGAAGGAAUACCGGUGGCGAAGGCGGCCCCCUGGACAGAUACUGACACUCAGAUGCGAAAGCGUGGGGAGCAAACAGGAUUAGAUACCCUGGUAGUCCACGCCGUAAACGAUGUCUACUUGGAGGUUGUGGCCUUGAGCCGUGGCUUUCGGAGCUAACGCGUUAAGUAGACCGCCUGGGGAGUACGGUCGCAAGAUUAAAACUCAAAUGAAUUGACGGGGGCCCGCACAAGCGGUGGAGCAUGUGGUUUAAUUCGAUGCAACGCGAAGAACCUUACCUACUCUUGACAUCCAGAGAACUUUCCAGAGAAUGGAUUGGUGCCUUCGGGAACUCUGAGACAGGUGCUGCAUGGCUGUCGUCAGCUCGUGUUGUGAAAUGUUGGGGUUAAGUCCCGCAACGAGCGCAACCCUUAUCCUUGUUUGCCAGCGAGUAAUGUCGGGA
rnacentral:rRNA from 1 species